rnacentral:tRNA from 1 species
GGAGAGAUGCCGGAGCGGCUGAACGGGCCAGUCUCGAAAACUGGAUUAGGGGCAACGCUACUGGGGGUUCAAAUCCCCCGUCUCUCCAACA